UUUGUUUCCUAAUUAGAAACUAGAAUGAAAGGUUUAACAUUUUAAUUAUUUUAUUAAUUAUUUAUAUAAAUUUAUACUAAACAUAAAAAUAUGUUUAUGGUCUAAAAAGACGAUAAGACCCUAUUAAAUUUUACUUAAUGUUUAACUGGGGCAGUUAUUUAAUUAAUACUUUAAACACAUAAAAUAAAUACCUAAUAUAAAUAUAUUAUAAUCAAAUUACUAUAGGGAUAACAGCGUUAUAUUAUUUAAAAGUUCAUAUUUAUAAUAAUGAUUGCGACCUCGAUGUUGAAUUAUAUUUCUAUUAUUAACGCAACAGU
rnacentral:rRNA from 1 species